GACACUUCAGCUGUCAUUCUGCCUCCCAGUGCUGGUGAGCUGAAUAGAGCCUGUUCUGAUGAUCAGGUUCAGACUCCAGACACCUUCAGCUCCCAGUCUGAGUCAGUUGACAUGAAGAGAGACAAUGAAACUCACCAUGACACUUCAGCUGUCAUUCUGCCUCCCAGUGCUGGUGAGCUGAAUAGAGCCUGUUGUGAUGUUCAGGUCUCUCCAGACUCCAUCAGCUCCCAGUCUGAGGAAUUCUCUCAAUUUAAGGAAACUGAGGACCAUCUCACUGGAACUCAGGUUGUUGAGCCGUACGAUGAGCUGCUGCCCACCGCAUCUCACAAUGACCUUUCAG